rnacentral:tmRNA from 1 species
GGGGGCGUACAUGGCUUCGACGGGAAUUAUGGAGAUAGAAGAAGCGAGCCGCAGGCCUCGGGCUGCGUCAACAACCGGGAAACUUAAAUUUAAAUGCAAAACCACAAAAAUUAGCUUUAGCUGCUUAAUUGCGCUAAACGUCUAUUCCUUGUUUCCUACGGCUUGGAAAUAGGCGUCAAUUAGUAGGGAACGAAUCUAUCAAAGCUUUGCGAUAGACCGGAUUUUAUGAAGCUACUAAAGGCUAUACCUGGUUUAUGGGGGAUAGCUGGAGGGAAUGUUAAAGCAUAAACUGCGCUCGGAGAAACUUCUAUAGACUGGUUUUCGGACAGGGGUUCGACUCCCCUCGCCUCCACCA